rnacentral:rRNA from 1 species
GAGGUUUUCUUACUUAUUUUGUUGGUGGUUUUAUUAUUAAGAGAAAUAUCUUUUUGUUUAGUAAUGAUGAAAGAAAUAUUUAUUUUUGUGAUAGUUUAUUAGUACUGUAUAGGAAUGAUGAAAUAUAAUGAAAUUUAUUUUAUUAAAAGUAGCUUUAUUUUGGUGUACCUUUUGUAUCAGGGUUAAUUAAAUAUAAUGAAUUUAUUUUGUNGUCUCGAUUUCAGAAGAGCUAAAACUAUAAUUUUUUUAAUGUUUCAUAAUUAUAUAUAAUAUAGUUUUAGGGGGGAAACCCCAUUCGACUUUAAAGGUAUCUAGUUUUUUAAGAAAUGAAUUUAAUUCAAUAUCAAUUUUUAUAAGCUUUAUUGUUAUUAAUCUUGUAUAUUAAUUGGUUGAAAGGUUUUAGGGGAUAAGCUCUGUAACUUUAAUUAAAAACUUAAAUUAACUUAGAUUUUGUAGGAUUUAUAUCGUCCAUCGAUGGUUAGUACGUUAUAGUUUAAUCUAGCUUAAUUAGAUUUUCUUUACUUUUAAUAUUUUAUUAAAAUAGGGCAUUUAAUUUUUAAAUGCUUGUAAUAAUGAUUAAAUCAGUAUAUUUAUCUGUAUUUUAUUUAUUUUUUGAGAUUAUUAUUUAAGGAACUCGGCAAAUUUAAUUCUCGCCUGUUUAUCAAAAACAUUCUUUGAGAUAUAAAUAAAGAGGUUUGACCUGCCCCAGUGGAAUUAUUUUUAACGGCCGCGGUAUUCUUGACCGUGCAAAGGUAGCAUAAUCAUUAGUCUUUUAAUAGAAGGCUGGUAUGAAAGGUUUGACGAAGUGUUAGCUGUCUCAUUUAAUUUAAUAUUAGAAUUUAAUUUUUUAGUCAGAAAGCUAAAAAUUUUGUUGGUAGACGAGAAGACCCUAUAGAGUUUUAUAAUUUAUUUUAUAUAUUUCAUAUAAUUUUUUAUAUAAUCUAUAUUAUUUUGUUGGGGUGACAAAAAUAUAUAAUUAACUUUUUUAUUUAUCUAUCAUUGAUUUAUGUAUACUAGAUCCAGUCUUAUUGAUUGUUAGAACAAGUUACCUUAGGGAUAACAGCGUAAUCUUCCUUGGGAGCUCUUAUUUGCAGGAAGGCUUGCGACCUCGAUGUUGGAUUAAGAUAAUAGUUAGGUGCAGUAAGCUUAAAUGUUAUAGGUCUGUUCCAACCUUUAAAUUCUUACAU